UACGUAGGGGGCUAGCGUUGUCCGGAAUCACUGGGCGUAAAGCGCACGUAGGCGGAUCUUUAAGUCAAGGGUGAAAUCCUGGAGCUCAACUCCAGAACUGCCUCUGAUACUGGGGAUCUUGAGUCCGGAAGAGGUAAGUGGAACUGCGAGUGUAGAGGUGAAAUUCGUAGAUAUUCGCAAGAACACCAGUGGCGAAGGCGGCUUACUGGUCCGGUACUGACGCUGAGGUGCGAAAGCGUGGGGAGCAAACAGG
rnacentral:rRNA from 1 species